CAGCGUUUCUCUGUAUUACUUUGCAGCGUGUCCUGGAACUUGCUCUGUAGACCAGGCUGGCCUCAAACUCACAGAGAUCUGCCUGUCUCUGCCUCCCAAGUGCUGGGAUUAAAAGUGUGCGUCCCCAACUCCCAACCAAUUCAGCUUUAUUAUGGAAACAUAAAGUCUAGUAAUAGCACAAUGGAGUAUCGUAAUGUCACAAUCUAGCAACACUGUGAUGUCAAAUUUCAACGCUUUUCUCAUGGUGAAAUGGAGCAGUGUGAAGCCACGGCUCAGAAUGAUGUCACAGUGCUGCGUCGGUGUGUCUGUCAUAAGGCAGCAGUCACGCCAUCACUUCACAGAGCAGCAUUGAGACAGCACAAGGUGGAAGAGGAAAAGAAAGGCACAAAGAGGCCGCUGGGCCAUGAGUGAGCUAUAUGACGGUACUAAGGACAUUUUCAUGGCACAAUGAGGCAUCGCGAUCAAAUACAGCAUUGUGAGAUUUACAAUUCAACAUUGUGUCAUCAAAAUUCGGCAUUGCACCAACACAGCAGAGCACCGCGACGGCAUGAUAUAGCAUUGUGAAGUCACAAUUGAGCAUGACGUUAGCAUGAUUGAUGACUGUGGUGUCAAAACUGAGCAUUGUGAUGCCACAACAGAGGGGACUUUGAACAAUUUAACAUUAUACUGAAGGACUAUGACAUUUCGUGGAGUGUUGUCACAUCCCCAGUGAGAACUGAGAUGACCCAGCAUGUAAACCAUUUUGAUGCUGCAAAUUCAGCAAUGUGAUGUCACAGCGUCACACUGUGGUGGCACUGCAGAUUAUAAUGAUGGAAUAGUGAAACGUUUGGAUGUCACAAGUCAGCACUGUAAUGAUACAAAA